rnacentral:rRNA from 1 species
GAUCCUGGCUCAGAUUGAACGCUAGCGGGAUGCCUUACACAUGCAAGUCGAACGGCAGCACGGGCUUCGGCCUGGUGGCGAGUGGCGAACGGGUGAGUAAUGCAUCGGAACGUGCCGUGUAGUGGGGGAUAACGUAGCGAAAGUUACGCUAAUACCGCAUACGCCCUGAGGGGGAAAGUGGGGGACCGUAAGGCCUCACGCUAUACGAGCGGCCGAUGUCGGAUUAGCUAGUUGGUAGGGUAAAGGCCUACCAAGGCGACGAUCCGUAGCGGGUCUGAGAGGAUGAUCCGCCACACUGGGACUGAGACACGGCCCAGACUCCUACGGGAGGCAGCAGUGGGGAAUAUUGCGCAAUGGGGGCAACCCUGACGCAGCCAUGCCGCGUGUGUGAAGAAGGCCUUCGGGUUGUAAAGCACUUUAAGUGGGGAGAAAAGGGUAGCGGUUAAUAGCGGUUACCUGUGAUGUUACCCACAGAAUAAGCACCGGCUAACUCCGUG